UACGUAGGGGGCAAGCGUUGUCCGGAUUUAUUGGGCGUAAAGAGCGUGUAGGCGGUCAGGUAGGUCGGUUGUGAAAACUGGAGGCUCAACCUUCAGAGGUCGACCGAAACCCCCUGGCUAGAGUCCGGGAGAGGAGAGUGGAAUUCCUGGUGUAGCGGUGAAAUGCGCAGAUAUCAGGAAGAACACCCGUGGCGAAAGCGGCUCUCUGGAACGGUACUGACGCUGAGACGCGAAAGCGUGGGGAGCGAACGGG
rnacentral:rRNA from 1 species